rnacentral:SRP_RNA from 1 species
CGGGUCCUCCACAACGUCCGGAGGGUGAACCCCGCCAGGCCCGGAAGGGAGCAACGGUAAGCCUGAAGGGCGUGUGUGGUAAG